UCUAAGUAUAAGCAACUAUACGGUGAAACUGCGAAUGGCUCAUUAAAUCAGUUAUCGUUUAUUUGAUAGUACCUUACUACAUGGAUAACCGUGGUAAUUCUAGAGCUAAUACAUGCUAAAAACCCCGACUUCGGAAGGGGUGUAUUUAUUAGAUAAAAAACCAAUGCCCUUCGGGGCUCCUUGGUGAAUCAUAAUAACUUAACGAAUCGCAUGGCCUUGCGCCGGCGAUGGUUCAUUCAAAUUUCUGCCCUAUCAACUUUCGAUGGUAGGAUAGUGGCCUACCAUGGUAUCAACGGGUAACGGGGAAUUAGGGUUCGACUCCGGAGAGGGAGCCUGAGAAACGGCUACCACAUCCAAGGAAGGCAGCAGGCGCGCAAAUUACCCAAUCCCGACACGGGGAGGUAGUGACAAUAAAUACUGAUACAGGGCUCUUUUGGGUCUUGUAAUUGGAAUGAGUACAAUUUAAAUCCCUUAACGAGGAACAAUUGGAGGGCAAGUCUGGUGCCAGCAGCCGCGGUAAUUCCAGCUCCAAUAGCGUAUAUUAAAGUUGUUGCAGUUAAAAAGCUCGUAGUUGAACCUUGGGCCUGGCUGGCCGGUCCGCCUCACCGCGUGUACUGGUCCGGCCGGGCCUUUCCUUCUGGGGAACCUCAUGCCCUUCACUGGGCGUGCUGGGGAACCAGGACUUUUACUUUGAAAAAAUUAGAGUGUUCAAAGCAGGCCUUUGCUCGAAUACAUUAGCAUGGAAUAAUAGAAUAGGACGUGUGGUUCUAUUUUGUUGGUUUCUAGGACCGCCGUAAUGAUUAAUAGGGAUAGUCGGGGGGCAUCAGUAUUCAAGCGUCAGAGGUGAAAUUCUUGAAUUGCUUGAAGAUUAACUACUGCGAAGCA
rnacentral:rRNA from 1 species